rnacentral:rRNA from 1 species
UACAGAGGGUGCAAGCGUUGCCCGGAUUUAUUGGGCGUAAAGGGCGCGUAGGCGGCUACGCACGUCCGUUGUGAAAUCGCUCGGCUCAACUGGGCGGGGUCAGCGGAUACGGCGUAGCUGGAGCAAGCUAGGGGGCAAUGGAAUUCCCGGUGUAGUGGUGGAAUGCGUAGAUAUCGGGAGGAACACCAGUGGCGAAGGCGGUUGCCUGGAGCUUUGCUGACGCUGAUGCGCGAAAGCGUGGGGAGCGAUCCGG